GAUGAAGAACGUAGCGAAAUGCGAUACUUGGUGUGAAUUGCAGAAUCCCGUGAACCAUCGAGUCUUUGAACGCAAGUUGCGCCCGAAGCCACUAGGCCGAGGGCACGCCUGCCUGGGCGUCACACGUCGUUGCCCCCCCCCCAUCUACUCCUUCGGGAUUGCGGGGGGCGGAUGAUGGCCUCCCGUGCGCCUCGCCGCGCGGUUGGCAUAAAUACCAAGUCCUCGGCGACGCACGCCACGACAAUCGGUGGUUGCGAAACCUCGGUUGCCCGUCGUGUGCGUUCGUCGCGCAUCGAGGGCUCGAAAAAAUGCUCGGCUCCGGCUCGGCUUUCAACGCGACCCCAGGUCAGGCGGGGUUACCCGCUGAAUUUAAGCAUAUCAAUAAGCGGAGGA
rnacentral:misc_RNA from 1 species